rnacentral:rRNA from 1 species
UACGUAGGGGGCUAGCGUUGUCCGGAAUCAUUGGGCGUAAAGAGCGUGUAGGCGGUCCGGUAAGUCCGCUGUGAAAGUCGGGGGCUCAACCCUCGAAUGCCGGUGGAUACUGUCGGGCUAGAGUCCGGAAGAGGCAAGUGGAAUUCCUGGUGUAGCGGUGAAAUGCGCAGAUAUCAGGAGGAACACCGAUGGCGAAGGCAGCUUGCUGGGACGGUACUGACGCUGAGACGCGAAAGCGUGGGGAGCAAACAGG